rnacentral:rRNA from 1 species
AACGAACGCUGGCGGCAUGCCUAACACAUGCAAGUCGAACGAUGGUUUUGUCUUCGGAUGGAGCCAUAGUGGCGCACGGGUGAGUAACACGUGGGAACCUGCCUUUCGGUUCGGAAUAACAUUUGGAAACGAACGCUAACACCGGAUACGCCCUUUUGGGGAAAGUUUACGCCGAGAGAGGGGCCCGCGUCCGCUUAGGUAGUUGGUGGGGUAAUGGCCUACCAAGCCGACGAUCGGUAGCUGGUCUGAGAGGAUGAUCAGCCACACUGAGACUGAGACAAAGCCCAGACUCCUACGGGAGGCAGCAGUGGGGAAUAUUGGACAAUGGGCGCAAGCCUGAUCCAGCAAUGCCGCGUGAGUGAUGAAGGCCUUAGGGUUGUAAAGCUCUUUCGCACGCGACGAUGAUGACGGUAGCGUGAGAAGAAGCCCCGGCUAACUUCGUGCCAGCCGCCGCUGUAAUAC